rnacentral:rRNA from 1 species
UACGUAGGGCGCAAGCGUUGUCCGGAAUUAUUGGGCGUAAAGAGCGCGCAGGCGGUCGAUCAAGUCGCGUGUGAAAGCCCCCGGCUCAACUGGGGAGGGUCACGCGAUACUGCGGGGCUAGAGUGCAGAAGGGGCAACUGGAAUUCUCGGUGUAGCGGUGAAAUGCGUAGAUAUCGAGAGGAACACCUGCGGCGAAGGCGGGUUGCUGGGCUGACACUGACGCUGAGGCGCGAAAGCGUGGGGAGCAAACAGG